CCUUAAUCAUCCUUGGAGGGUAUUUAAGAUGGAGGCCUCCAGCAGUUCAGCGCCAGAGUGUUGCCCUCAGUGGCCGGAUACCUGGACCUGACUUUGUCUCCAAGCAUCUUUGCCAUUGUGGAUUUUUUCCUUGGAGAAGGAUCUCCAAACUACGUGGAUUAAACCUGGUUUGUUUACCCUCUGCGCUCCGGAUCUACUGGCUGGCGGCUACUUCGACGGUGCUCUUCCUGGAACUACUACGGACCACCUCAAGCGAACCCUGUCCACCCUCCCACACAAUAACAUCUCCAACAGAACCUCAGAGUUUCCUCAAAGUGAGUCAAGUACUUGCCUGCUCCGUUCAUCUCGGUGUGCAGCUCCGUUGUUGUCUCACCCCCUCCUGGCGGAUCAACCUCCACUUCCUAGUAAGGCAGAUUUGUUAUUUAGUAAUAUUCACCAUUUUGAUUCAUACAUUCUUACCGUGUUUACUUACCUUGCAGUUGUCCUCUGAUUCCAGCUCCGCCCCUUUCCCCUCGCUCACUGUAAAAUAAAGUCUUUGUUAAACUUUAUCGGUUUCCUGAUUGCUUACUGCAUGUGGGUCUAAAGAAUCUGUAAAUUAUGACAAAAUCUGUCAUAAAUCAUCGGUCAUAUAUGUUGUCAUGCAUGUUAAUAAUAACUUUUUAAUCCCUUCCAUCAACCUGCUCGAAAAUUAGCCUCUCUGGCUAAAUCUGGCAUAUUUACGUGAUGUAAUUGAUGUUGUUUAAUAUGCAUUGUCCCCUUUAUGAAAAUAAAUAAAUCUAAAACGUG